UCCCUGUUGCCAGGGCAGUUCCACUAGAGUGAUACAACUAGUAGUAAGGGUUGCGCUCGUUACCCGACUUAACGGUACAUCUCACGACACGAGCUGACAACAGCCAUGCAAUACCUGUGCUUCACCCUCUAAGGAAUCCAUCUUUCAAUGGAUUUGCAGAAGCAUGUCAAACCUCGGUAAGGUUCUUCGGUUAUCAUCGAAUUAAAGCAGGCGCUCCACCGCUUGUGCGGAUCCCCGUCAAUUCCUUUGAGUUUUAGCCUUGCGACCGUACUCCUCAGGCGGUCCACUUAAUGUGUUAACUGCGACACGCACAUAAGAUAAAUCUUACACACGAAUCUAGUGGACAUAGUUUACGGCGUGGACUA
rnacentral:misc_RNA from 1 species